rnacentral:tRNA from 1 species
GCGGGCGCGCCGAAGUUGGAGAGUCGGGACCGGCUGUAAACCGGUUGCCUCAGCGCUGAGCAGGUUCGAAUCCUGCCGCCCGCAC